rnacentral:rRNA from 1 species
UACGAGGGGGGGCAAGCGUUAUUCUAAAUGACUGGGCGUAAAGGGCACAUAGGCGGUUUUUUUUAGUUGGCUAUGAUAAAAAAACAAGGCUUAACCAUGUAAAAGUCAUCCAAAAACUAAAAAAAACUCGAGUAAAUGAGAGGAGAAUGGAAUUUCUGGAGGAGAGGUAAAAUUCGUAGAUAUCAGGAGGAAGAUCGAAAAGCGAAAGCAAUUCUCUGGCACUUUACUGACGCUGAUGUGGCGAAAGCGUGGGGAGCAAAAGGG